rnacentral:rRNA from 1 species
AUUGUCGAAACCUGCAAAAGUAGAGCGACUAGAGAACCAGUUAA